AAUGAAGGAGUUGAGGUUCAGCUACGCUGGCUGGGAGCCGCCCUUCAUUCACCACAUGGUUAAACCCAGACUCUACUCGCGCCACUUUCGCAAUCUUACUACGAUUCCCAAACUCCUAGCAAAUCAUAAUAGUAGCACAUGGUUGUGUACUUUUUCUGAUUACGCGUCUUAGCCGUUAUUCAAUCUGUGAAGUCCGUUUUCUUUUCUCAGUUUUGCAGAUAUCCCAGAAACAGAGUGAGUAAACGAGCCCUGUACACAUCUGUACCUCUUGGACACCCCCCACUGUGGAUUUAAAGACGUCGUAAUUCAAUGUGUGAGAGAGAAUGCCACACGAACGGUUUCAAGUCACUGUAGUGCCAAAGUGCUUACAGUGCAGGUAGUUUUAUAAAAUCUACUGCAGUGAAGGCACUUUCAGCACUGUUCUGAUAAUGUUAACUAAAGGAGCUGGCGUGUUCACAGACACAGCUGGUUUAUGCCAGUCCUGAGUCCAAAUGCACUUGCUGUCGCACAUCUGGCAGGUCCUCGUCAUCUUGCUGUGAGGCUCAGCUCCCUGCUGUUUCGGAGCAAAACAACUGUGUGGAGCAAAUAUGUUUCACGUUUGUGAGGCGUCGCACAUCCUGUCAUUGUUAAUAGUGACAUUUCAGCAGCGUGUGAAGUGUUGCAGAGUUUUAUAUUUAUUGUUUUUAACUGCCGUGACACACCGCUCAGAUAAAGUUGCACUUUGUUUAGUUUCUAUGCAGGUGGACUGUUCUGACAAAUUGUUGCAUUGGUGUACAUCAAAAUUUAACUUUGCCUCGUGUGUCUUCCACUUGUGCUUGUGCUAAGGUGCAUCUAGUGCAGAUAGUGAAGUAGACUAGCACCUACUGCCCUAAGUGCUCCUUCUGGCAUAAGGGGCUGGGACUUUCAUCUGCUUUGUACUUGUCUAAGUGUAUACAGCAAAUGUGUGUACAUAUGCACAUUUAUAAGUAAGGCAGUUCUCUGUUAGUUUUGCAUAGUUGCGCUGCAAGAAGAAAUAAGUUGUGCAAAUCUAUGCAAAACUGAUGGUGGCCUGUGUUUCCAUCUGAAUAUCAUUUCUUUCUAGGUGGUGGUCAUUAAGGUUUCCGCUACAGUUCUGUUAACAUGGUAAAGACAGGUUUCAGUAGUAUUAAAGUGCUUAUAGUGCAGGUAGUUUGAUUAUUUCUACUGCAGUGUGAGCACUUAAAGUACUUCUAGACUUCUUCAUCUGUGGAAAAACUGCAGCGGUAGCUCAUGCACAUUGGUCUAUGGUUAGUUUUGCUGGUUUGCUUUCAGCUUUUCAAUGUACUGCUGUGCAAAUCCAUGCAAAACUGAUCAUAGAACUGAAAUGAAUCUAUCAGAAGUGAUCCCUUUCUGUGCAGGUUGGGAGAGGUAGCAAUGCUCUGUACUUGUGCGGUAUUGCACUUGUCCCGGCCUGUUGAGGACACGGGGAAUUGUGCUGCAAGUCCUCGCAGGAUUCAGCUUCAUUGAACUCGGAUUGUCAUCCUUAUGUCACCAUCUCCUCUUUGUGUCAUGUGCUUCUUGUCCAGUGCAGUGAAACCGCUAAAUACACGUUCCUUCAUUUGCUUAAGAGUGAAGCUACAUUAUAUAUCUGACAACUAAAUAUCAUAUAGAUGUCUAAAUAACAGUUUUUCUGAGUGACAAAAUUGUAUUGUGUCAAAUAUUUAAUUUUGGAAAUAAAGGUUUUCAGUUGUCCACUGA